rnacentral:lncRNA from 1 species
ACAAACAAACAAACAAUAGUACACAUGACACAAUAUAUAAAAGUAAAGAAUAAGCAACACGAACCCCACCGAAAACUGGGGGUGAUCUGAGGUGCUCCGAGAGGGUGAGCAGAACCUGCUUUACAAAUGGCACCCGUCGUGUUGCUCAUGUUUCUCAUGUGGUAAUUCAUCACAUUCGCACGAAACUUUAUUCAGUACCCCUUUCAAAACUUCAUUCUCUGUUCAACUUAUGUUUGGAAACCAAUGUUACAAACCCUCAUUCAAAC